GAGUGGCGGACGGGUGAGUAACGCGUAGGAAUUUACCCAGCAGUACGGAAUAACCAUCGGAAACGGUGGCUAAUACCGAAUACGCCCUCCGGGGGAAAGAUUUAUCGCUGUUGGAUGAGCCUGCGUCGGAUUAGCUUGUUGGUGAGGUAAAAGCUCACCAAGGCGACAAUCCGUAGCUGGUCUGAGAGGAUGACCAGCCACACUGGAACUGAGACACGGUCCAGACUCC
rnacentral:rRNA from 1 species